UCCUUCCUUGGUCAGUGUUGGACAGA
rnacentral:piRNA from 1 species